ACCUGUGGUUCCACAACAGAACAGAGAAGGACAGGAAUUUGGCACCUGUGGCAAAUUUGCCUCCUGCGUUGUCUAGGAAACCUGCGGCUCUUGCCUGUGCCCCCAGAAACCACUGGAGAGAGUCAGGCACAAGGACAUCAAGGUCAUAACGACCUUGGAUCACUCAUACACCAACGAAUGGCACCUGCUACCACUGUGACUGCCACUACCAUCAUCACCCUCACCAUCACUGCCAUCAUCAUUAUCAUCAUCGUGACCAGCAUCAUUAGCAUAACCGUGACUGGCAGCAUCAUGACCACCAACAUCACCAUCAUCACCACUGACAUCAUCGUCACCGUCAUCAUGACCACCACCGCCAACCACCACCACUAUCAUCACCAUCACUACUACCACCACUACCACAUCAAUAUCACAUUAGGAUCAAGAAAAAUGGAACCAGAGAACAUGUAUGUCAAGACCCCUGAAUAAAAGCACAGCAGCAUACAGAACCCAGGCUAAAGGGCAUAAUAAAAGGAGAACACGGUGGCUAGAAAGCACGUAAGCGGGUGAAUGCCCAAUUCGGAGGGAAGUCACUGACGUGACUUCGGGGACGUGGAACCAUGUUGAAGAUUGAACGUUGAGUGCCAUUAAAGUUCACCAAGCACCUGUUCGCAGCAGGUGAUGGCCUAAAGUCACAAUCCUCACCUAUUCUCCAGGCAUGGUGCACACACCAACCUGAACUGAACCCUAACCGCCACCCUGGCCUGGCUUACACAAACAUUGGGGCCCGACUCAGGACAAGCUGUGCACACUUUAAAGUAGUCUGCAACCUCACGGGUUUAGAGGAGCCCGUUCCCGUGAAACCAGCAACUCACAACUUAGAGGGGAAGCCUUCUUGCCUCUCCCUGUGAUCCUCUCUCCUCAAGGAAAAUGGUAAAGCCCGUCCCUCGGUGCCAACCCACGGAUGAGGAGGUGGUGGCACGAAGACUUCUGCUCCAUAGUCUGCCAAACUUGGCCCUGCACAGAACACCUUCACAAUAGGAAGACCAGCUCCUCGGAUAAAUGAAAACUGUCUGUGCUCCUGCCUGCCGGGAGACAAACCCUGGCCAGCCUGUUCCUGCUCAACCCGAGUACUGAAAUGCCUCCAGUUGGUUCCUAUUUCAUUAAAAGUCCAUGAAGGGAGAAACAAGAGCUCCUGGAAGACACAGACCGUGCAGCAUCUCUCAAACUUUUUGAUACAGGCGAGACGGGUUGUGAGCAAAUGUCACCUAACUGGGUUUCUCCCUUACCUACGCCAGUGCAGAAGCCAGUGUCCACCAACAUACACACAACAGACCCGGGUUAGGUAGGAAAGCCAGCCACUUGGCAUGGUUCUCGAAAAUUCAACCACCUCAGUAUGAACGAGGCUAGUGCCCUCUCCCAGGUCAGCUCUGCAGUGCCAUCAAAUCCCCCCACCAAAGACAGACACUGUGAGGACCAGGAACGCCUCCCUGAAAAGGGCAAUCCCGGUUCAAGACGGGACUAUUCCCAACACAGGCCAGGAAGUUCCGUCUUUCCGUGUGCUCCACUGCCCAGCAAACCCAGAUUUCCCUUGGCAAGAGCCGGGUCUCUGGAGCUUUGAGCUCUGGAAGAGGAAG